ACGGGAGGCAGCAGUGGGGAAUAUUGCACAAUGGGCGAAAGCCUGAUGCAGCGACGCCGCGUGAACGAAGAAGUAUUUCGGUAUGUAAAGUUCUAUCAGCAGGGAAGAUAAUGACGGUACCACUUGAAUAAGCUCCGGCUAACUACGUGCCAGCAGCCGCGGUAAUACGUAGGGAGCAAGCGUUAUCCGGAUUUACUGGGUGUAAAGGGCGUGUAGGCGGGACUACAAGUCGGAUGUGAAAGCACGAGGCUCAACUUCGUGUCUGCAUUUGAAACUGUAGUUCUUGAGUGUUGGAGAGGCUAACGGAACUCCUAGUGUAGCGGUGAAAUGCGUAGAUAUUAGGAAGAACACCAGUGGCGAAGGCGGUUAGCUGGACAAUAACUGACGCUGAGGCGCGAAAGCGUGGGUAGCAAACAGGAUUAGAUACCCUGGUA
rnacentral:rRNA from 1 species